GACAGAGGGUGCAAACGUUGCUCGGAAUUACUGGGCGUAAAGCGCGUGUAGGCGGGAAGAUAAGUCGGGUGUGAAAUCCCUGGGCUCAACCUAGGAACUGCAUUCGAAAACUGUCUUUCUGGAGUGAUGGAGAGGAAAGCGGAAUUCCCGGUGUAGAGGUGAAAUUCGUAGAUAUCGGGAGGAACACCGGUGGGCGAAGGCGGUUCUCUGGGGCCUUACCUGACGCUGGAGGAGCGAAAGCGUGGGGAGCGAACAGG
rnacentral:rRNA from 1 species